rnacentral:misc_RNA from 1 species
AAAAAAAAAAAAAAAAAAAAACUAGAAUAGAGAUUUUAUCAAUUUGAUGGCAAUUAGGGUUUGCUAAGGGUUACCCACUUUAUGGAUUAAGCAGAUGUGGCUGAAAACUUUUCAAAGAGUCCUCAUGCAAUAGAGCACUGACGCUAGCCUUAUCCUUAAAUCUUCCCACACUCACAAUGCCACUUUCCUAGGUCAUCUUCCCUAAAGUUUUAAAAGGGUUUUAAAUACAAGAAGUAGCUUCAUUUUAUUCUAAUUUAGUUAAUUAAAAGAUAUUAAAUUACAUUUUGUGAAAUUAAAUGAUGAAUUAAAACAAAAGGGUUGUAGAGCAUAACUAGAGAGAGGAGAAUAGAAUCAAAUUGAGAAAGAGGGGGAAAGAGGGUACCAUGAGAGAAAUAGAGAAAUGAAGAGAGAGAGAGAGAGAUGAGAGGAGAAACAGAAAAAAAGAGAGGAAUGAAGAGAGAAAGGGACAAAAACGAGUAAGAGAACAACAAGGUAAAGGAUAAUUUAGAAAUUAUAAUAUUUUGUCUCAUUGGAUUAAGAUAAAGAGUUUUGAAUAAUAGAAUAUUCCGUUUAAAUCGGAUGGAGGAUAGAGCGACUGAAUUGUUGUAAAAAAAAUUUAUAAAGAUUAAAUUAUUUUUUUUUAAAUAUAACAAUUUAAAGUAUUAAUAAUAGUAAAAAUCAUCAACUAUACAAUAAAUUACCCUAAUUAUUUUGGGAAAAGUUAAAUUAAAAAAUUUAAGCCUCCGAUGAAGUCAAAAAGCCAAUGUAUUUGCUUUCAACUAUCUUUGCGUCUUGGCAUUUCACCAGGGAGAGGAGGUACACCGAACACCCAAUCAAGGACAUUAAGGUACUUGGACCGGAACACUUCCCUUUCCCGUGCGUAGCAGUGCAUGAUUAUAGCUGUUGAGACACUGAAGAUCAACACAUCAGCUCUCUUCAGAUUCUUUGACUGCGGCAAAUAUCCAACAUCGGCCAUACAUGUAAAGAAGCUUUCAAUUGCUCGUGCAAGGCAGUAGAGUGAUAUCUCAAUCCGCCUGCUUUUCUUCUCUAUUGCCAGGGCUAGACCAGUGGGAAACUGAGCAAGACACAAGUGGUAUUUCAAAACAUAAUCAUUUAUAUUUGUCUCUACUCACAUGAAUAGUUGAAGUUCCUAUACCGUCCCAAUUGCCAACAUUGGAAUGUUACAUCUCCUGAAGAUUCUAAAGAGCACGCACGUCCACAUCCUGACGACCAUCAAAAGGAAUUUUAGUUAUGUAAGUCAUUGGACAUGAAAUUUGUGAAGAAAUUGAAUAAUUCCCUUUAAAUUUAAUAUGAGAAUUCUCAUUUCUCAGCUUUCAUCAUGCCUUUAAAAUAGGAAAAAAAAAAAGCUGCAAACAAUUUGCUCAUUCAUGUCCACCUGUUCUAGUCAAAUAGGAUAUAAACUGCCAGAAUAGAAUUCACACAGCCUUGUUCAUAAUCACGAUAAAUAUGCAUCAGAGUGAUUUCAAUAGUCGCUUCUAUGUGCAUCAAGUCAGUGCAUGUGUGAUGUUAAUGCACCUUAACAAUUGCACACAGAACAUAAAUAACCUGAUGCGCAAAAAUUCUCCUAGUCAAAAAGGGAAACAUCAUCAAGAACUGGGAAAAAUAUGAUGAAUGGACCUUUUAAAAAGAAAAAACAUCUAUGGUUUCUCGGCAAAAAGUAGUAUACUAAAGGAAUGAGCACCGACCAGGCAGAUGAGCAAUAUGUGG